rnacentral:rRNA from 1 species
GGCGAACGCUGGCGGCGUGCCUAACACAUGCAAGUCGUGCGGGAACGGGCUUCGGCCCUAGUACCGCGGCAGACGGGUGAGUAACACGUGAGUAACCUGUCCUCGGGUCUGGGAUAACCACCCGAAAGGGCGGCUAAUACCGGAUAAAGUCACCGGGCGCAAGCUCGGUGAUGAAAGGGGGCCUCUGCAUAGCAAGCUCCUGCCUGAGGAGGGGCUCGCGGCCCAUCAGCUAGUUGGUGGGGUAACGGCCCACCAAGGCGAUGACGGGUAGCCGGCCUGAGAGGGUGGUCGGCCACACGGGCACUGAGACACGGGCCCGACUCCUACAGGAGGCAGCAGUGGGGAAUCUUGGGCAAUGGGCGAAAGCCUGACCCAGCGACGCCGCGUGGGGGAAGAAGGCCUUCGGGUCGUAAACCCCUGUUCUGGGGGAAGAACCCUGACUGGGUUAAGAGCCUAAGUCAGGCUGACGGUACCCCAGGAGAAAGCCACGGCUAACUGCGUGCCAGCAGCCGCGGUAAUGCGCAGGUGGCGAGACGGGCGGUGUGUACUGAGCCAGGAUCAAACUCU